AAGUCUGAUGGAGCACGCCGCGUGAGUGAUGAAGGCUUUAGGGUCGUAAAACUCUGUUGUUGGAGAAGAACGUGUGUGAGAGUAACUGCUCAUGCAGUGACGGUAUCCAACCAGAAAGCCACGGCUAACUACGUGCCAGCAGCCGCGGUAAUACGUAGGUGGCAAGCGUUAUCCGGAUUUAUUGGGCGUAAAGCGAGCGCAGGCGGUUUCUUAAGUCUAAUGUGAAAGCCUUCGGCUUAACCGAAGAAGUGCAUUGGAAACUGGGAAACUUGAGUGCAGAAGAGGACAGUGGAACUCCAUGUGUAGCGGUGAAAUGCGUAGAUAUAUGGAAGAACACCAGUGGCGAAGGCGGCUGUCUGGUCUGUAACUGACGCUGAGGCUCGAAAGCAUGGGUAGCGAACAGGAUUAGAUACCCUGGUAGUCCAUGCCGUAAACGAUGAAUGCUAAGUGUUGGAGGGUUUCCGCCCUUCAGUGCUGCAGCUAACGCAUUAAGCAUUCCGCCUGGGGAGUACGACCGCAAGGUUGAAACUCAAAAGAAUUGACGGGGGCCCGCACAAGCGGUGGAGCAUGUGGUUUAAUUCGAAGCUACGCGAAGAACCUUACCAGGUCUUGACAUCUUCUGCUAACCUAAGAGAUUAGGCGUUCCCUUCGGGGACAGAAUGACAGGUGGUGCAUGGUUGUCGUCAGCUCGUGUCGUGAGAUGUUGGGUUAAGUCCCGCAACGAGCGCAACCCCUAUUAUUAGUUGCCAGCAUUAAGUUGGGCACUCUAGUGAGACUGCCGGUGAUAAACCGGAGGAAGGUGGGGACGACGUCAAAUCAUCAUGCCCCUUAUGACCUGGGCUACACACGUGCUACAAUGGACGGUACAACGAGUUGCGAGACCGCGAGGUUAAGCUAAUCUCUUAAAACCGUUCUCAGUUCGGACUGCAGGCUGCAACUCGCUG
rnacentral:rRNA from 1 species